CUUUUUUACGCAUAAUAAACCACCUCUAUACAUUUUACUGUUCCUAUCCAAGUGGAAACAGGUAUAGAAAAACGUGUUAUGUAGUUUGUGAGUUCUUUUAAGAGCGCUAUUAUGCUUAUGAAUGUGAUAAAUCCAAUCUCAAAUAGAAAGGUCGCUGAUUUUAUUUACCCAUACAACUAUAUAAAAUUUAGUUAUGCUGCUAAAAAGUAGAUAAAAUUGGCGACUGAAUGGAGGUCACAGUCGCCAUGAAAAAGAUAC
rfam:Jeotgalibaca sp. PTS2502, complete genome.